ACCGAUUUGACGGCACUGCCCGCGAUCAUGGAGACAUUGUUGAUGGUCACAGAGACAGCGUCUAUGAUCUCAGAGACAUCGUCCACGAUCACAAAGACAUUGUCCAUGAUCACAGAGACUUUGUCCAUAAUCUCAGAGACAUUGUCCGCGAUCACAGAGACGUAGUCCACGAUCGCAGAGAGCCGCCGUACAGUGAGGAAGUUCUUUGAGACCAGGACUGAGGCCUCCAGGUGUCACCACUUCGUCCACGACAUCGUCCACAAUCGCAGAGACAUGGUCCGUGAUCGGAGAGACAUUGUUGAGGAUGAGGGAGACAUCGUCCACGAUCAGAGACGUUGUCCAUGUUCGCAGAGACCUUGUCAAAGAUGAGAGAGACGUUGUCCAUGAUCAGAGACAUUGUCCCAUGCUUCGUAGAGACCUUGCGAUAGAAUCGGCGGAGACGGGGGUCACCGAUUUGACGGCACUGCCCGCGAUCAUGGAGACAUUGUUGAUGGUCACAGAGACAGCGUCUAUGAUCUCAGAGACAUCGUCCACGAUCACAAAGACAUUGUCCAUGAUCACAGAGACUUUGUCCAUAAUCUCAGAGACAUUGUCCGCGAUCACAGAGACGUAGUCCACGAUCACAGAGAGUCUUUGUACAAUAAAGAAGUUCUUUGAGACCAGGACUGAGGUCUCCAGGUGUCACCACUUCGUCCACGAUAUCGUCCACAAUCGCAGAGACAUGGUCCGUGAUCGGAGAGACAUUGUUGAGGAUGAGGGAGACAUCGUCCACGAUCAGAGACGUUGUCCACGAUCGCAGAGACCUUGUCAAAGAUGAGAGAGACGUUGUCCAUGAUCAGAGACAUUGUCCCAUGCUUCGUAGAGACCUUGCGAUAGAAUCGGCGGAGACGGGGGUCACCGAUUUGACGGCACUGCCCGCGAUCAUGGAGACAUUGUUGAUGGUCACAGAGACAGCGUCUAUGAUCUCAGAGACAUCGUCCACGAUCACAAAGACAUUGUCCAUGAUCACAGAGACUUUGUCCAUAAUCUCAGAGACAUUGUCCGCGAUCACAGAGACGUAGUCCACGAUCGCAGAGAGCCGCCGUACAGUGAGGAAGUUCUUUGAGACCAGGACUGAGGCCUCCAGGUGUCACCACUUCGUCCACGACAUCGUCCACAAUCGCAGAGACAUGGUCCGUGAUCGGAGAGACAUUGUUGAGGAUGAGGGAGACAUCGUCCACGAUCAGAGACGUUGUCCAUGUUCGCAGAGACCUUGUCAAAGAUGAGAGAGACGUUGUCCAUGAUCAGAGACAUUGUCCCAUGCUUCGUAGAGACCUUGCGAUAGAAUCGGCGGAGACGGGGGUCACCGAUUUGACGGCACUGCCCGCGAUCAUGGAGACAUUGUUGAUGGUCACAGAGACAGCGUCUAUGAUCUCAGAGACAUCGUCCACGAUCACAAAGACAUUGUCCAUGAUCACAGAGACUUUGUCCAUAAUCUCAGAGACAUUGUCCGCGAUCACAGAGACGUAGUCCACGAUCACAGAGAGUCUUUGUACAAUAAAGAAGUUCUUUGAGACCAGGACUGAGGUCUCCAGGUGUCACCACUUCGUCCAUGUCAUCGUCCACGAUCGCAGAGACAUGGUCCAUGAUCGGAGAGACAUUGUUGAGGAUGAGGGAGACAUUCUCCACGAUCAGAGACAUUGUCCAUGAUCGCAGAGACCUUGUCAAAGAUGAGAGAGACGUUUUCCAUGAUCAGAGACAUUGUCCCAUGCUUCGAAGAGCUCUGCGCAAGAAUCGGUAGAGACACUGUGGUUCCUCGAUUCGACGGCAUGAUCAUGGAGACAUUGUUGAUGGUCACAGAGACUUUGUCCAUAAUCUCAGAGACAUUGUCCGUGAUCACAGGGAUGCAGUCCAUGAUUGCAGAGAGCCACCGUACAAUGAGGAAGCUCUUUGAGACCAGGACAGAGGCCUCCAGGUAAUUCACAAACAGCUU